rnacentral:rRNA from 1 species
GACGAACGCUGGCGGCGUGCUUAAUACAUGCAAGUCGAACGAAGUGGCGAACGGGUGAGUAACGCGUAUUCAACCUGCCCUUCAGAGGGGGACAACUGUUGGAAACGACCGCUAAUACCGCAUACUGAAGGUGGGGAUUGCGUCUGAUUAGCUAGUUGGAGGGGUAACGGCCCACCAAGGCGAUGAUGAGUAGCCGGCCUGAGAGGAGGAACGGCCACAUUGGGACUGAGACACGGCCCAGACUCCUACGGGAGGCAGCAGUGGGGAAUCUUCCGCAAUGGACGGAAGUCUGACGGAGCAACGCCGCGUGAGUGAUGACGGCCUUCGGGUUGUAAAGCUCUGUUAAUCGGGACGCGGUACCGGAAUAGAAAGCCACGGCUAACUACGUGCCAGCAGCCGCGGUAAUAC